UUUCCGUAGGUGAACCUGCGGAAGGAUCAUUACAGAGAACAUCGCCCUCACGGGUGACUCUCCAACCCUUUGUUAUUAUACCUUUGUUGCUUUGGCGAGCCGCCUCGGCCACCGGCUCACGCUGGUGAGUGCUCGCCAGAGGACCCCAAACUCUGAAUAUUAGUGUCGUCCGAGUAUUAUAUAAUAGUUAAAACUUUCAACAACGGAUCUCUUGGUUCUG
rnacentral:misc_RNA from 1 species